rnacentral:rRNA from 1 species
GGGCGUAAAGGGCUCCGCAGGCGGUUUCUUAAGUCUGAUGUGAAAGCCCCCGGCUCAACCGGGGAGGGUCAUUGGAAACUGGGGAACUUGAGUGCAGAAGAGGAGAGUGGAAUUCCACGUGUAGCGGUGAAAUGCGUAGAGAUGUGGAGGAACACCAGUGGCGAAGGCGACUCUCUGGUCUGUAACUGACGCUGAGGAGCGAAAGCGUGGGGAGCGAACAGGAUUAGAUACCCUGGUAGUCCACGCCGUAAACGAUGAGUGCUAAGUGUUAGGGGGUUUCCGCCCCUUAGUGCUGCAGCUAACGCAUUAAGCACUCCGCCUGGGGAGUACGGUCGCAAGACUGAAACUCAAAGGAAUUGACGGGGGCCCGCACAAGCGGUGGAGCAUGUGGUUUAAUUCGAAGCAUCGCGAAGAACCUUACCAGGUCUUGACAUCCUCUGACAAUCCUAGAGAUAGGACGUCCCCUUCGGGGGCAGAGUGACAGGUGGUGCAUGGUUGUC